rnacentral:sRNA from 1 species
ACAGAAGGCGGUGGCGGGCGGGUGCAGCGAGUUUGUCCCCUUGCCCGCACACUGCUUGGCCUCUGUACUUAAGUGCGGUGGCCGCCUGCCUCGCUGGAGCUUCUCUGCCGCAGCCAUCCAUGCUGCUUGGGACGGGCCGGGGCGCGAAGGCGGUCGCAUCCAUCGCUCUGCCCUCCUGGGAAGUUUCUGCUCUCCUUCCCCGCUCCUACCCUUAGGAAACCCCCUCACCACCUGCCCCAGACCAGGUUCCUCUGAACCCUAAAUUCAAUCUUUAGGGCCCACUUUCCCAACCCCCUGACCUUUUUCCAUCGGCACCUACCGAGACGACUUCGUCGCGUGCUCCCAUACCCAUUUCUUUCACUUUCCUGUGGCGAGCAUCUCCCUUCUCAGGGAAAGGGAAGCAUGGGGCCAGCACCUUGGGAAGAAGAAGCGGGAAGAUACGCUGCCCUCCCUGUCUCAGAUGCACCUCUGGCCUCGGCGUGACCACCUUGUUUAGCUGAGGAGAAGCUGGGUUGGCAGGGUUUUCUGAAGUCAAGAGGGAGCUGGGGGGGCGCCCCGGGAGGUACUGGCAGUUUUUUCACUUGUCCUCUUCUGGCUUUGUAGCUUCUCUUGUGUAAUCAGCUGCCUAUUUGGAAAUUGGGCAGGGUUUGCGACUGGAUGCUAAUGUCACUGACUAGUUUUCAGCCUACCAUCCAGAAGUAACAUGUUCCCAGCUUUGGAAACGCACCUAAAGCAGACUAUUCCUGAUCCUUAUGAAGACUUUAUGUACCGUCACCUCCAAUAUUAUGGCUACUUUAAAGCUCAGAGAGGCAGUUUACCAAACUCUGCUACGCAUCAGCAUGUUCGGAAGAAUAACCCUCAAUACCUGUUGAAUGGCUCUCUUGGGGAAAAAGAUGAUUUGAUACCAGACACCCUGCAAAAGGAGAAGCUUCUAUAUUCACAUAUGCUGAGUUUACCACAUCUUAGGAGCAGACAGCUUCUUUAUGAUGAGUUGGAUGAAGUAAACCCACGUCUUCGAGAACCCCAAGAGCUCUUUUCCAUUUUGUCUACCAAGAGGCCACUGCAGGCUCCAAGAUGGCCAAUUGAAUGUGAGGUCAUCAAGGAAAACAUUCAUCAUAUUGAGUGGGCUCCACCUCAACCAGAAUAUUUCUAUCAGCCUAAAGGAAAUGAAAAGGUACCAGAGAUUGUAGGAGAGAAAAAAGGAACAGUUGUCUAUCAGUUAGAUUCAGUGCCUACAGAAGGUUCCUAUUUUACCAGUUCCAGAGUGGGAGGCAAACGAGGAAUUAUCAAGGAACUUGCUGUCACGUUGCAAGGACCAGAAGAUAAUACUCUACUGUUUGAAUCAAGGUUUGAGAGUGGGAAUCUGCAAAAAGCUGUCAGAGUAGACACCUAUGAGUAUGAACUCACCUUGCGAACUGACCUCUACACUAACAAACACACUCAGUGGUUUUAUUUUCGUGUUCAGAACACCAGAAGAGAUGCCACCUAUCGCUUCACCAUUGUCAACUUGCUAAAACCCAAGAGUCUUUAUACUGUAGGGAUGAAGCCACUCUUGUACUCCCAAUUGGAUGCCAACACCCGCAAUAUUGGCUGGAGGAGAGAAGGAAAUGAAAUCAAGUACUACAAGAACAACACGGAUGAUGGGCAGCAGCCCUUCUACUGUCUCACGUGGACCAUUCAGUUUCCAUAUGACCAGGACACUUGCUUCUUUGCACACUUCUACCCAUAUACAUACACUGAUUUGCAAUGCUACCUCCUGUCAGUGGCAAACAACCCUAUCCAGUCUCAGUUCUGCAAGCUCCAAACUUUAUGCAGGAGCCUAGCAGGAAAUACCGUUUACUUGCUCACCAUCACCAACCCAUCCCAGACCCCUCAAGAGGCAGCUGCAAAGAAAGCUGUGGUCUUGAGUGCCAGAGUUCACCCUGGAGAAAGUAAUGGCUCCUGGGUUAUGAAAGGCUUUUUGGACUUCAUCCUUAGCAACUCCCCAGAUGCCCAGCUCCUCAGAGAUAUUUUUGUCUUCAAGGUGCUUCCCAUGUUAAAUCCAGAUGGUGUGAUUGUGGGGAAUUAUCGGUGUUCCUUGGCCGGAAGGGAUUUGAACAGGCAUUAUAAAACCAUUCUGAAGGAGUCUUUCCCUUGUAUUUGGUACACCAGGAACAUGAUCAAAAGACUUCUUGAAGAAAGAGAGGUUCUGUUGUAUUGUGAUUUCCAUGGCCACAGUCGUAAGAAUAAUAUCUUCCUGUAUGGCUGUAAUAACAACAAUCGCAAAUACUGGCUUCAUGAACGAGUCUUUCCUUUAAUGUUAUGCAAAAAUGCACCAGAUAAGUUCUCUUUUCACAGUUGUAAUUUUAAGGUCCAAAAAUGCAAAGAAGGAACAGGACGAGUUGUUAUGUGGCGGAUGGGAAUCCUAAACAGCUACACCAUGGAGUCUACCUUUGGCGGGUCCACCCUGGGUAAUAAAAGAGACACCCACUUUACCAUCGAAGAUCUGAAGUCCUUAGGUUAUCAUGUCUGUGACACCCUUCUGGACUUUUGUGAUCCUGACCAAACGAAGCACCAGUGGCUCUGACAGUUCUCUCUCAGAUGGUCUUCCUGUUCACCUAGCAAACAUAGCAGAUGAG